rnacentral:rRNA from 1 species
GACGAACGCUGGCGGCGUGCUUAACACAUGCAAGUCGAACGGAAAGGCCCUGCUUUUGUGGGGUGCUCGAGUGGCGAACGGGUGAGUAACACGUGAGUAACCUGCCCUUGACUUUGGGAUAACUUCAGGAAACUGGGGCUAAUACCGGAUAGGAGCUCCUGCUGCAUGGUGGGGGUUGGAUAGUUUCGGCGGUUGGGGAUGGACUCGCGGCUUAUCCGCUUGUUGGUGGGGUAGUGACUUACCAAGGCUUUGACGGGUAGCCGGUCUGAGCGGGUGACCGGACACAUUGGGACUGAGAUGCGGCCCAGACUCCUACGGGAGGCAGAAGUGGGGAAUAUUGCACAAUGGGCGGAAGCCUGAUGCAGCAACGCAGCGUGCGGGAUGACGGCCUUCGGGUUGUAAACCGCUUUCGCCUGUGACGAAGCGUGAGUGACGGUAAUGGGUGAAGAAGCACCGGCUAACUACGUG